UGGGAAGAGAAACGAGGUCACUACUACAGUGGGAAGAGAAAGAGGUCACUACUACAGUGGGAAGAGAAAGAGGUCACUACUACAGUGGGAAGAGAAAGAGGUCACUACUACUGUGGGAAGAGAAAGAGGUCACUACUACUGUGGGAAGAGAAAGAGGUCACUACUACUGUGGGAAGAGAAACGAG